AUGAAGAACUAUUUCAUGGAGAAUCCCACAUACCCGGAGUCGUAUUUUCGUCGCCGGUUUAGGAUGAGCACCGACUUGUUCAGGCGCAUUGCAGAGAAACUAGCGAGCCAUGACCGGUUUUUUCAGCAAAGAAGUAAUGCCGCCGGAGAGCUCGGGCAUAGCACCUUUCUGAAGGUGACAGCCGCUUUGCGUAUGUUGGCAUACGGUAUCCCGGCUGAUCUAGUUGAUGAUCACUUGGCAUACGGUAUCCUAUCAUGCCAUUCGGCGUCCCAUAACGCACAAUGA
rnacentral:rRNA from 1 species